rnacentral:rRNA from 1 species
GAUGAACGCUGGCGGCGUGCUUAACACAUGCAAGUCGAACGAGAAGUGGAGACGGAAACCUUCGGGCGGAAGACUUUACUUCGAGUGGCGGACGGGUGAGUAACGCGUGGGUAACCUGCCUCAUACAGGGGGAUAACAGUUGGAAACGACUGUUAAUACCGCAUAAGACCACAGCACCGCAUGGUGCGGGGGUAAAAACUCCGGUGGUAUGAGAUGGACCCGCGUUCGAUUAGCCAGUUGGCGGGGUAACGGCCCACCAAAGCGACGAUCGAUAGCCGAUCUGAGAGGAUGACGGGCCACAUUGGGACUGAGACACGGCCCAAACUCCUACGGGAGGCAGCAGUGGGGAAUAUUGCACAAUGGGGGAAACCCUGAUGCAGCGACGCCGCGUGAGUGAAGAAGUAUUUCGGUAUGUAAAGCUCUAUCAGCAGGGAAGAAAAUGACAGUACCUGAGUAAGAAGCCCCGGCUAACUACGUG